rnacentral:rRNA from 1 species
AACGAACGCUGGCGGGGGGCUUAACACAUGCAAGUCGAACGGCAGGGCCCUACUUUUGUGGGGUGCCGGGUUCGGAAAGGGGGACGUAACAGGUGUGUAACCUGCCCUACAUUUUGGGAUAACUUCAGGAAGCGGGGCUUACUCCCGGAUAGGAGCCCAUGUUGCAGGGUGGGGGUUGGAACGUUUGGGCGGUUGGGGUUGGACGCGCGGCUUAUCAGCUUGUUGGUGGGGUAGUGGCUUACCAAGGCUUUGACGGGUAGCCGGCCUGGGAGGGUGACCGGCCACAUGGGGACUGAGAGACGGCCCAGACGCCAACGGGAGGCAGCAGUGGGGAAUAUUGCACAAUGGGCGGAAGCCGGAGGCAGCAACGCCGGGGUUGGGAUGACGGCCUUCGGGGUGUAAACCGCAGUCGCCUGUGACGAAGCGGUAGUGACGGUAAUGGGUAAAGAAGCACCGGCUAACUACGUG